rnacentral:rRNA from 1 species
UGGGGAAUCUUGGACAAUGGGGGAAACCCUGAUCCAGCAAUGCCGCGUGUGGGAUGAAGGCCCUCGGGUUGUAAACCACUUUUGGCAGGAAAGAAAUCGCCUGUGCUAAUACCAUGGGCGGAUGACGGUACCUGCAGAAUAAGCACCGGCUAACUACGUGCCAGCAGCCGCGGUAAUACGUAGGGUGCGAGCGUUAAUCGGAAUUACUGGGCGUAAAGCGUGCGCAGGCGGUUUUGUAAGACAGAUGUGAAAUCCCCGGGCUUAACCUGGGAACUGCAUUUGUGACUGCAAGACUAGAGUGUGUCAGAGGGAGGUGGAAUUCCGCGUGUAGCAGUGAAAUGCGUAGAGAUGCGGAAGAACACCGAUGGCGAAGGCAGCCUCCUGGGAUAACACUGACGCU